rnacentral:lncRNA from 1 species
GUUUCUUGCAUUUUGACACACUGUGAAGACGAACGCAGUUGAGCUGCUGUGUCGUAGUUACUUGGUUGUUCUUUACGUGCUCAUGUCCUAUAGGAAUGGGCAGCGGCAGUGCUGGAAAAGAAGGGGGGCCCUUUAAGGCUCUUUUACGACAACAGACCCAGUCCGCCUUGGAACAGCGGGAGUUCCCCUUCCUCACCUUGACGGCCUUUCCCCCUGGACUUCUUGUGCACGUUGGCGGUGUUGUCAGUGCACGCUCUGUGAAGCUUUUAGACCGGAUCCACAACCCUGAUGAACCAGAAACACGAGAUGCGUGGUGGGCAGAAAUCAGACAAGAGAUAAAGUCACAUGCUAAAGCCUUAGGCUGCCAUGCUGUCGUGGGCUACAGUGAGUCAACAAGCAUCUG